CGAAUUUCCGUUGAUGAUAUCGAUUGAUUGUUGUGGUUAUGUAGAGACCCACUGUGGAAGUAACCGAUCACAAGGCCCAUGGUUCCAUUCCAGAGCCUGGAUCAGUUGUCCUUGCUAGAGUAAGGGAUCAUCAACAAGAUCAUUGCAUAACAUAGCUCACUUUCUCCAAUCAUGAAGCAGAUUGUUGGACUGAUUCGUGUAUGUAAAUCUUGCCGACGUUUCUUUCAUCAUAGCAGGUUACCAAAGUGAUGGAAAGGAUGGCUUCAGCUGAUAUUAUGUGUCUUGGCACGAAGUCUGAGCGGUAUAUGCAGUAUUCCCCUUGAAUAAUGACUACAUAGGCGUUGCAUUUAUCUCGUGCAUAUUCGGUUGUAGCUUGUCUAGUGAAGUUAGUUGCUGUUCUGUUUCGUUUUCAAAACGUCAUUUGGUUUAUAAGCUGUUUCUAUCAACAGGCUUCAAGAUGUAAGAGCCACCGAAAUUGACAAAGUAGAUAUGCUUUCGUCUUUUCGCCAGGGUGACAUUGUGAGAGCUCAUGUUUAAGCUGUCGCUUGGAGACGCUAAGGCUUAUUAUCUGUCAACCGCAAAGAAUGAACUGGGCGUUAUUUCUGCAGAGUGAAGCAGCAGCAGCAGCAGGUGAAAUGAUGGUGGCAAGAAGCUGGACAGAGAUGCAGUGCCCCGGGACAGGGCAAAUCAAGCAUAGAAAGGUCGCUGAGGUCGGAGGAUGAAAAGAUGAACAGAGAAUUAAUGUGUUGUCUUCUUUCUUCUCCUUUCGUUCCUUUUUCGAAAGCGUGUAACCUUAGAGUUUCUUAUAGAUGGUGCUCAGGGAAAUAGGUUAAAGUCAGAAGUUAUGGUAGUCUGAUAUAAGAUUUUGUAACUCCGUCGACUCCCCCAUGCACCUCUAUGUGAAGGUUUUACAAACUAGCAGUCCCCUGUUUACGGGGUCGCUUGCGUUUAAC